GGAGGAAAGGAGAGAGGGCGGGUGGGAGGGAGUCUCGUGCCCGGCAUCUGGACCGGGCAGCGGCGGCUACUGCCCGUUCACAUGCUGCCCGCUCUGAUUGCUUCGUACCCACAAUUGCAUAACAGUUUUUAUGUGGAAUUUGUUUGCUAGUGGAUGAUAGUUGUUUAAACGAAUGACGUUUUUAUUUUAUUUUAUUUUACUUUACUUCGGUUUACUGGUUGAAUGAAUAUUUAUGCGUUGAGGGAUGAGUUUAAGGUAUAAUGUGCAGGUCAGUUAAUUUCUAAAAAACUUACAUCUUAUUGUUUGUGUGAUCAAAUUUUCAGUUCAUACAUUGUUUUAACAUUGGAAUUGCAAUUGGAUUGAAUUGUUUUGAGAAUUACGCAUUUAAGGUUGUUUCUGUAACGGUUGUGGUGAUUUAGUUUGCCUUCUUGUAAUCAUGAUAUAUUUAAACCACCCAUAAAACUAAGACACUAGUAAUUGUAUCUUAGAUUUGUUGAAAAUUAUAUAUAUAGUCUUUUAGAUCCUAUAUAAAUUAUGACUAU
rnacentral:lncRNA from 1 species